rnacentral:rRNA from 1 species
CACGUAGGGCGCAAGCGUUGUCCGGAAUUAUUGGGCGUAAAGAGCUCGUAGGCGGUCUGUUACGUCUGCUGUGAAAACCCGGGGCUUAACCCUGGGCUUGCAGUGGAUACGGGCAGACUAGAGGCAGGUAGGGGAGAAUGGAAUUCCCGGUGUAGCGGUGAAAUGCGCAGAUAUCGGGAGGAACACCGGUGGCGAAGGCGGUUCUCUGGGCCAAUACUGACGCUCAUGCACGAAAGCGUGGGGAGCAAACAGG